AGAGUUUGAUCCUGGCUCAGGACGAACGCUGGCGGCGUGCUUAACACAUGCAAGUCAAGGCGGUAGCGAGCAGCAAUGCUCGAUACCGACUGGCGCACGGGUGCGGAACACGUAGGUAAUCUGCCCAAUAGGGGAGAACAACCAGCCGAAAGGUUGGCUAAAUCUCCGUAACAUCGCGAAGUGGCAUCACUUUGCGAUCA
rnacentral:rRNA from 1 species